rnacentral:rRNA from 1 species
UGGGGAAUAUUGCACAAUGGGCGCAAGCCUGAUGCAGCCAUGCCUCGUGUAUGAAGAAGGCCUUCGGGUUGUAAAGUACUUUCAGUCGGGAGGAAGGUGUCAAGGUUAAUAACCUUGGCAAUUGACGUUACCGACAUAAGAAGCACCGGCUAACUCCGUUCCAUCAGCCGCGGUAAUACGGAGGGUGCAAGCGUUAAUCGGAAUUACUGGGCGUAAAGCGCACGCAGGCGGUUGAUUGAGUCAGAUGUGAAAUCCCCGGGCUUAAACCGGGAAUUGCAUCUGAUACUGGUCAGCUAGAGUCUUGUAGAGGGGGGUAGAAUUCCAUGUGUAGCGGUGAAAUGAGUAGAGAUGUGGAGGAAUACCGGUGGCGAAGGCGGCCCCCUGGACAAAGAAUGAAGCUCAGGUGCGAAAGCGUGGGGAGCAAACAGG